rnacentral:misc_RNA from 1 species
GAUGAAGAACGUAGCGAAAUGCGAUAAGUAGUGUGAAUUGCAGAAUUCAGUGAAUCAUCGAAUCUUUGAACGCACAUUGCGCCCCUUGGUAUUCCAUGGGGCAUGCCUGUUCGAGCGUCAUUUGUACCUUCAAGCCUUGCUUGGUGUUGGGUGUUUGUCUCGCCUCUGCGCGCAGACUCGCCUCAAAACAAUUGGCAGCCGGCGUAUUGAUUUCGGAGCGCAGUACAUCUCGCGCUUUGCACUCAGAACGACGACGUCCAAAAGUACAUUUUUACACUCUUGACCUCGGAUCAGGUAGGGAUACCCGCUGAACAUAAGCAUAUCAAUAAGCGGAGGA